GUAGGUGGCAAGCGUUAUCCGGAAUUAUUGGGGCGUAAAGCGCGCGCAGGCGGUUUCUUAAGGUCUGAUGUGAAAGCCCACGGGCUCAACCGUGGAGGGUCAUUGGAAACUGGGGAACUUGAGUGCAGAAGAGAAAAGCGGAAUUCCACGUGUAGCGGUGAAAUGCGUAGAGAUGUGGAGGAACACCAGUGGCGAAGGCGGCUUUUUGGUCUGUAACUGACGCUGAGGCGCGAAAGCGUGGGGAGCAAACAGGAUUAGAUACCCUGGUAGUCCACGCCGUGAACGAUGAGUGCUAAGUGUUAGAGGGUUUCCGCCCUUUAGUGCUGCAGCUAACGCAUUAAGCACUCCGCCUGGGGAGUACGGUCGCAAGACUG
rnacentral:rRNA from 1 species